GAUCAAGCGCGAGAAGGGCGUUUGGUGGAUGCCUUGGCAGUAAGAGGCGAUGAAGGACGUGAUACUCUGCGAUAAGUCCUGGGGAGCUGAGAAUAAGCUUUGAUCCAGGAAUUUCCGAAUGGGGCAACCCACCUGAAAGUUCGUUAUAAUUACCUCUGGUAGUUUAUAACGGGCUUAAACAGGUACUUUUAACCUGAACACAUAGGGUUUUAAGAGCAAACCCGGGGAACUGAAACAUCUAAGUACCCGGAGGAAAGGACAUCAAUAGAGACUCCCCUAGUAGCGGCGAGCGAACGGGGACCAGCCGAGUCCUGAGAGUGAACAGAAUGGUCUGGAAAGGCCAACCACAGCGGGUGACAGUCCCGUAUGUGAAGCUCGAUGGAACGUAUUAAGUAGGGCGGGACACGUGAAAUCCUGUUCGAAGAUCGGAGGACCACCUCCGAAGGCUAAGUACUCCUUACUGACCGAUAGCGAACCAGUACCGUGAGGGAAAGGUGAAAAGCACCCCGACGAGGGGAGUGAAACAGUACCUGAAACCGAACGCCUACAAUCAGUCGGAGGCUCCUCGAGAGCUGACGGCGUACCUUUUGUAUAAUGGGUCAUCGACUUGGUCUAUCUAGCAAGCUUAAGCCGUUAGGUGUAGGCGCAGCGAAAGCGAGUCUUAAUAGGGCGUCGAGUUAGAUGGAUCAGACCCGAAACCGAGUGAUCUAGGCAUGACCAGGAUGAAGGUUGGGUAACACCAACUGGAGGUCCGAACCCACACCUGUUGAAAAAGGUCGGGAUGAGUUGUGCCUAGGGGUGAAAGGCCAAUCAAACUCGGAGAUAGCUGGUUCUCCGCGAAAUCUAUUUAGGUAGAGCGUCAUCCGAAUACCCCGGGGGGUAGAGCACUGGAUGGGUAAUGGGGCCCCACAGGCUUACUGAUCCUAACCAAACUCCGAAUACCCGGGAGUACUAGAUGGCAGACACACUGCGGGUGCUAACGCCCGUAGUGGAGAGGGAAACAACCCUGACCUCCGGCUAAGGCCCCCAAUUCAUGGCUAAGUGGGAAAGCAGGUGGGACGACCAAAACAACCAGGAGGUUGGCUUAGAAGCAGCCAUCCUUUAAAGAUAGCGUAACAGCUCACUGGUCUAAUUAA
rnacentral:rRNA from 1 species